rnacentral:rRNA from 1 species
GUGAGGAAUAUUGGACAAUGGGCGCAAGCCUGAUCCAGCCAUGCCGCGUGCAGGAAGACGCAUCUAUGGUGUGUAAACUGCUUUUGUACGGGAAGAAACACUCCCUCGUGAGGGAGCUUGACGGUACCGUAAGAAUAAGGAUCGGCUAACUCCGUGCCAGCAGCCGCGGUAAUACGGAGGAUCCAAGCGUUAUCCGGAAUCAUUGGGUUUAAAGGGUCCGUAGGCGGUUUAAUAAGUCAGUGGUGAAAGCCCAUCGCUCAACGAUGGAGCGGCCAUUGAUACUGUUAGACUUGAAUUACAAGGAAGUAACUAGAAUAUGUAGUGUAGCGGUGAAAUGCUUAGAUAUUACAUGGAAUACCAAUUGCGAAGGCAGGUUACUACUUGUGGAUUGACGCUGAUGGACGAAAGCGUGGGGAGCGAACAGGAUUAGAUACCCGGGUAGUCC